rnacentral:rRNA from 1 species
UAGCUACGGCGAGUGAAGAGGGAAGAGCCCAAGAUUGAAAGCUGGCGUCUUCGGCGUCCGCAUUGUAAUCUCAAGAAGUGUUUUCCGCUUCGGACCAUGCCUAAGUCCCUUGGAAAAGGGCAUCAUAGAGGGUGAUAAUCCCGUACAUGGCAUGGAGCGCCCGAAGCUUUGUGAUACGCUUUCUAAGAGUCGAGUUGUUUGGGAAUGCAGCUCAAAAUGGGUGGUAAAUGCCAUCUAAGGCUAAAUAUUGGGGAGAGACCGAUAGCGAACAAGUACAGUGAUGGAAAGAUGAAAAGAACUUUGAAAAGAGAGUUAAACAGUACGUGAAAUUGCCAAAAGGGAAGGGCAGGAGGUCAGAGAUGCGGCCUGGGAUUCAGCCUUGCUUUUGCUUGGUGUUUUUCCCAGAUUGCAGGCCAACGUCGGUUUUGGGCACUGGAAAAGGGUAGGAGGAACGUGGCACCUCUCGGGGUGUGUUAUAGCCUCCUACUGGAUACGGCGACCGAGACCGAGGACAGCAGCGUACUCGCAAGAGCGGGCCUUCGGGCACCUUUACGCUUAAGGCGUUGGCAUAAUGGCCCUCUACCACCCGUCUUGAAACACGGACCAAUCUUU